rnacentral:rRNA from 1 species
GGGGGGGGGGGGGGGGGGGGCUAGGAGGUGCGAGUCGAGCGGAGGAAGGGGGCAUGCUCCUGGAUGCAGCGGCGGACGGGUGAGUAAUGCCUAGGGAUCUGCCUGGUAGUGGGGGAUAACGGCCGGCACCGGGCGCUACUACCGCAUAAGUCCUGAGGGAGAAAGAGGGGGAUGUUCGGCCCUCAGGCUCUAAGUGUAGCCUAGGACGGCUUAGCUAGUUGGUGGGUUCAAGGCCUACCAAGGCGACGAUCCGGCACGGGGCUUAGUGGAUGAUCGGUCACACGUGAACUUAGACACCGUCCAGACUCCUACGGGAGGCAGCAGUGGGGAAUAUUGGACAAUGGGCGAAAGCCUGAUCCAGCCAUGCCGCGUGUGUGAAGAAGGUCUUCGUAUUGUAAAGCCCUUUAAGGUGGGAGGAAGGGCAGUAAGUUAAGACCUUGCUGUUUUGACGUUACCAACAGAAUAAGCACCGGCUAACUUCGUG